rnacentral:rRNA from 1 species
CAGCCGCCGCGGUAAUACGGAGGGGGCUAGCGUUGUUUGGAAUUACUGGGCGUAAAGCGCACGUAGGCGGCUUGGUAAGUUAGAGGUGAAAGCCUGGAGCUCAACUCCAGAAUUGCCUUUAAGACUGCCGAGCUAGCAGGUGAGAGAGGUAAGUGGAAUUCCGAGUGUAGAGGUGAAAUUCGUAGAUAUUCGGAAGAACACCAGUGGCGAAGGCGGCUUACUGGCUCAUACUGGACGCUGAGGUGCGAAAGCGUGGGGAGCAAACAGGAUUAGAUACCCCUGUAGUCCCUGUCUCUUAUAC